rnacentral:rRNA from 1 species
UACGUAGGGUGCGAGCGUUAAUCGGAAUUACUGGGUGUAAAGCGUGCGUAGGCGGUUCGUUAAGUUCGUUGUGAAAGCCCCGGGCUCAACCUGGGAAUGGCAAUGGAAACUGGCGGGCUGGAGUAUGGCAGAGGGGGGUGGAAUUCCGCGUGUAGCAGUGAAAUGCGUAGAGAUGCGGAGGGACACCGAUGGCGAAGGCAGCCCCCUGGGCCAAUACUGACGCUCAGGCACGAAAGCCAGGGGAGCAAACGGG